UUCUCAAUCAAGGCAAUACUUUCCAUAAAGAAGGGUGCAUAUCUUUUGAAAUGUGGAAGAAGAGGGAAGCCCAAGUUUUGUCCUUUCCGGCUUUCUACGAUAUGCAAGGACAAAGAGCAAGCUGAUUCUUGGAUUCUAGGAUUUGAGAGUCAUAAUAUCAAGGUGUCACCAUCCUAGACCAUUUAAUAGCUUGAGAGGUCACAAAGGAGUACAAAGUUGUAUUAGUAGUCCCGCUGGUCUUAUUCAGAGAAAGCAUAAUCUUGGACUUUUGGAGGAUGCCACUGAAUUUUCCGAGUCUAGGAUAAUGCUUCAUAAGGAGACGAUGAGGGCCAUUACACAUUUCUGAGCCUACUAUGCGCGGAAUUGAACAAGGGGGGUAUGUC